rnacentral:snRNA from 1 species
AUGCUCGCUUGGGCAGCACGUACACUAAAACUGGAACAAAUACAGAAAGGAUUAGCAUGGCCCCUGCACAAGGAUGA